GUCUGUGAAAUGAGGUAGUUGGAUUAGAUAAUUCCACAGUUCCCUUCCAGCUCUAGCAUUACCCUCAGAUACCCUGGUGCCUAGAGCAGUAAUUGAACAAGGAGGAUGGGGACCCCAGGUUCUGGGUCAAGAACUCAUCUUGCAGCAUGGAGGAAUCGUGAUGAUGGCUGCAGCCCCCAGAAGGUGAACUUGGCAGGAGCUGGCUGAGAUGAUUUUUCUGCUGAUGGUGAAAUGUGCUGGCAGAGUCUAUACAGCACCUAGCAACAGGUAGUAAGCUCCUUGGGUGCCGAAUCAGUAUUUUCUGCCUUGGAAUCAAAUGUCAGAAGUCAACACUCAAACUUCUUUUGACCAAAAAGAUUCUACGACAAUUAUCCAGAAGUUACAAUGCAAGGAAGAAGAAUUGGAUGUUAAGUCUUGCGUAGCAGGGGUUAUGGGGAGUGGAUCAAGACAAAGUAGAGGUAUCUGCUCCCCUCAUCCUUGUAAGCUCCAUGCCAUUUAUCCAUGCUCACAUUGAUCAUCUCAUACGAGCUUCACAUUUCCCCACAAGAAAUGGAGCGUAACCCCAUUACCUACUCAUAGAGGAGGAACUGGAAGCCAGAGAGGGAGAUGCCUUAUUGACACAGAGCACAAGUGGCAGGAGCUGGCUUCAGACCUCAGUCCAUCCGGUGUGGCAGUCCCUCUUCCCAGGACCAGGUGGAGCUGGAGAGAAGGAGGAAGAGGAGUCUGUGAGGUCCAGAUGGAGAUGCUCGGCAGGCCCUUUCCAAAGGUGGGAGGUGAGGUCGGCCUGGAACCCUACUGGAUGCUUAAGUGUCCUGCCGCACUGCUGAUGAAAGCAGGUCCCCACCGCAGUGUAUAUACAUUGUGUGUUUGCAUCUAAAACGUCUAUAGUUGUUUGAAAUGUUUAAAUCUUUAACCCAUCUGAGAUGUGUUUUCAUGUAUGGUGUGACACAGAGCUCUAAUUUGCUCUUUUUGCAGAUAUCCAGUUUGCUAAGCACCAUUUAUUGUUCCAACACCAUCUUUUCUCUCAAUUCCCUGUCUAGACUCCGGUUCUGUUGAUCUAUUUGUCUAUUUCUGAGCCAAUAGUACAUAUUAAUGAGCAAAGCUUAAUAAAGUGUCUUAUGGCUUGAUAAGAUAAGCACUCCACCCUUCCCCCAAGGCCUUUAUUCCUUUUUUUUCUUUUUGAGACGGAGUCUUGCUCUGCCGCCCAGGCUGGGGUUCAGUGGUGCAGUCUCCGCUCACUGCAACCUCCGCCUCCCAGGUUCAAGUGAUUCUCCUGCCUCAGCCUCCUGAGUAGCUGGGACUACAGGCACGCGCCACCAUGCCCGGCUAAUUUUUGUAUUUUUUGGUGCAGAUAGGGUUUCACCAUGUUGGCCAGGCUAGUCUCAAACUCCUGACCUCAAGUGAUCCACCCAUCUCGGCCUCCCAAGGUGCUGGGAUUAUAGGCAUGAGCCACCGUGCGCAGCCCCUUAUUCUUUUUUAAAA
rnacentral:lncRNA from 10 species